rnacentral:rRNA from 1 species
CGCCUGUUUAACAAAAACAUCUCUUCUCGUUCAGUCUUUGAGUAUGGCCUGCCCACUGAUUUUUUUAUGAAGGGCCGCGGUAUUUUGACCGUGCAAAGGUAGCAUAAUCAUUAGUUCUUUAAUUGUGAUCUGGUAUGAAUGGCUUGACGAGGCAUGGGCUGUCUUAGAGUUUUGGAUUGUUUUAUUGAACUUGGUUUUUGAGUUAGAAUUCUUAGAUGUUUUUAUGGGACGAGAAGACCCUAUAGAGUUUGACAUAUGUUAUAGUUUUGUUUGGUUUGUUAUGUUAGUUCUUUUAUUGUUUGUUUUGUUGGGGUGAUGGGAGGAAUUUUUUUAACUCUUCUUUAUUUUGGUAUAUUUAUUUAUGUUUGUUUUGAUCCAUUUAUUAUUGAUUAUAAGAUUAAAUUACCUUAGGGAUAACAGCGUAA